AUUGAACGCUGGCGGCAUGCCUUACACAUGCAAGUCGAACGGUAACGGGCCUUCGGGUGCCGACGAGUGGCGAACGGGUGAGUAAUACAUCGGAACGUGCCCGAUCGUGGGGGAUAACGAGGCGAAAGCUUUGCUAAUACCGCAUACGAUCUACGGAUGAAAGCAGGGGACCGCAAGGCCUUGCGCGGACGGAGCGGCCGAUGGCAGAUUAGGUAGUUGGUGGGAUAAAAGCUUACCAAGCCGACGAUCUGUAGCUGGUCUGAGAGGAUGAUCAGCCACACUGGGACUGAGACACGGCCCAGACUCCUACGGGAGGCAGCAGUGGGGAAUUUUGGACGAAGGGCGCAAGCCUGAUCCAGCCAUGCCGCGUGCAGGAUGAAGGCCUUCGGGUUGUAAACUGCUUUUGUACGGAACGAAAAGCCUUCUUUUAAUACAGGAGGGUCAUGACGGUACCGUAAGAAUAAGCACCGGCUAACUACGUG
rnacentral:rRNA from 1 species